GAUGAACGCUGGCGGUAUGCUUAACACAUGCAAGUCGAACGGACUCUUCGGAGUUAGUGGCGGACGGGUGAGUAACGCGUGAGAAUCUGCCUUCAGGUCGGGGAUAACGGUUGGAAACGACUGCUAAUACAGGAUGUGCAGCAAUGUGAAAGAUUUAUUGCCUGAAGAUGAGCUCGCGUCUGAUUAGCUAGUAGGUGUGGUAAUGGCGCACCUAGGCGACGAUCAGUAACUGGUCUGAGAGGAUGACCAGUCACACUGGGACUGAGACACGGCCCAGACUCCUACGGGAGGCAGCAGUGGGGAAUUUUCCGCAAUGGGCGAAAGCCUGACGGAGCAAUACCGCGUGCGGGAGGAAGCUUUUUGGAGUGUAAACCGCUUUUCUCAGGGAAGAUGAUGACGGUACCUGAGGAAUCAGCAUCGGCUAACUCCGUGCCAGGAGCCGCGGUAAU
rnacentral:rRNA from 1 species